GUAACAGUAACCAUACUAUUUCUAAAAGGGCAGCUUCUUUCUUUUGUCACAUUCCUACAGGUUUGCAAACAGCUGAAAUUCAAUGCAUGCAAUGGCCUAAAUGGACUCGCUGUGUUCAACAUUGCAUCUAUGGCUAUGCCUUUCCGGGCUCUGGAAAAGUCGAUAGCAGAGAAAUGUCGUGUCGCACAAACGAAGAGAAAUGGAAGCCUCACGGUUUUGAAGAGUGCAAACCUAUCAUAGACUGUGACGUUAGGUUGCAUUCACCUGGCGAAAUAGAAUGUAAUUCCAACAAGUUCACCCCGAAAUCGUGCAAUAUUUCUUGUUCGGCAACGGACGAUAAACCUGCUGUGAACAGAAGGGAGUAUUUUUGCUACAGAAAUGGUUGG